CAGUAGCCGCGGUAAUACGGAGGGGGCUAGCGUUGUUCGGAAUUACUGGGCGUAAAGCGUACGUAGGCGGUUUUGUAAGUUAGAGGUGAAAGCCCGGAGCUCAACUCCGGAAUUGCCUUUAAGACUGCAUCACUUGAACGUCGGAGAGGUGAGUGGAAUUCCGAGUGUAGAGGUGAAAUUCGUAGAUAUUCGGAAGAACACCAGUGGCGAAGGCGGCUCACUGGACGACUGUUGACGCUGAGGUACGAAAGCGUGGGGAGCAAACAGGAUUAGAUACCCCCGUAGUCCCUGUCUCUUAUAC
rnacentral:rRNA from 1 species